CCUCAGGACCCCCCAGAACCUUUAGCAAUCUCGGUCGUGCAUGUGAAGAGACAUCAAACAGGAAUACAAUUUCGGAUUAGAAGAAACAAUUCAGCAGAUAAAGAAACAAAAAAUGCAGCACUACUAACGACACAGCAGUCCGGACAGCAGAAAAAGGCUGGACACUCGCCUCCAGAGUGAAAACCACAAACACCCAAGUGCAAAGUGGCUUCCUCCCCUGGAGACAUCAAGAUAAAAUUGCCGCAAACAAGACGAUGAUCAGCCUAGAUCAGAUAGGGUGAAUAGCUUCUGGAUGCAGAUGUUUUCCUUUUGUUCGUUUCAAGUGCCAAAUCUGCUGUGAAGUUUGGGUUACACAUUGCGUACGGGAGAUCUGACCUAAAGGGCUCUGUACUGUUUUGUCUUUGACUGACCGAAUUGAAUAUUGCAGAAUUAGAUUCUGUAGAGUGGGUUCUCUUAUAUCAACACGGGGUUAGUGGGAAACUAAAUUGCAGGGCUGAUAUUUUAAGAGUAGAAUGCCAGAGAACAAAUAAAGUACCUUGUUGGACGGACACGAUAAAAUUAUCGAGGUGGGAUGUCUUUAAGAGGCGAUAUGCAGCUCGGACUCUGCGUUGGUCCCCUAAAGAAUACCUCUGCUGCCAAGAAGAUGGUUUGGGCCUGAGCCUGGCCAUGUCCCACCGAUUAACGCAUACCCAAGGAAUUCUGCGCAAAGCCGUAACAAUGAGUGUGGGGGAUGCCCACAAUUAUCACCCCGACUCGCUCUGUCCUGGCCAGCUGCACCCAUAAAGAAAAGGAGGAGUGCUGAGCAUUUAACGGCACUCGGUAUGUGAGGUGUAAAUGGGGAAAGAAAAUGAUGUGCUAGGAUCUCAAGGCAAGACAUGGGAAAGGGCAGUCAGAGAUAUUUGCUCUCAAUAUCCAGAAGAGAAAUGCCAAUCGAACACCUCUUCCCACUUGUGGACAAUGCAAUCGCUCGGUGUGGGUAGGGGGAAAACAAAAGUCGGUAUUCGUGGCUUAUUUUCAGGUGAAUGAGUUAUGCUAUGACACUACCCGAUUAAAUAUGUGUGUCAUAGAAGGAAAAAUAUAUUGGGUGGGCAAAAAUCUUAAGUUUGAGAAUGGAUUAAUCUCGGACGGUAAACCAAUCAUCAUCGACCUACUUGAAGAAAAUGACAAACGGGUUUGUGCCCAAUUCGAUAACGCUUUUUGUUUCUCCAGAAACAAGGAAGGCGUGGAUCCCGAAAGCAAAAUAGAACAAAUAGCUUUAGAACAGAAUGUUGUGUUGAAAUUGAUUAUAGAAAAACUAUAAGGGAUCUUGCUACAGAAAUAAAAAGGGUGGCACAUGUCCCAGUCCAAAAGCGGAAUUCCAUUCUCCAGGCGUCUUGGUGAGAACAGUUAUUCUCGGGAGCACAGUGGAAAAAAAUUGUAUUCUUUAUCCUGUGCUCAGUAGCUGAAAUCAUCUUCCUACCAUGCUUGAUACCUUGUUUAAUCAAAUUAAUACACUUAGUGGGGCAGGGCAUGCAAAUAGCUGCUAUGCCCAUGGACCCAGAAUUUAAAUCUGGAAGAGUGAACAGUAAAGCAUCCAAAUUACUGAAAUCGGGAGAAGGAAAGGUAAAUACCAGUGCAGUAAAGGUACUUACAAAAUUAAAAUAACAAAUAGGAAAAAAUAAUCUCCCUUACAUAAAUUAUCGAGAAGAGUCAAUGAAGGGAUGGAAUAGCAGUGAUAGAUCUGAAGAAAAUUAAAAAGGGAACACAAAUUAAUUUGGUUUUAUAGAAGGGGAGGCAUUGUGAUAUGUUGUUAUCAUUCGUGUUUAUAUAUAAGAAAGUUGUAUAAAAUAAAUAAAGAGAACUUUUCAGCCACUGCCACCCACACCCGAAGCCAUGGACAAAGGCCUUAAUUAGCAUCUCAACAAACCUGGCUCAACGAUCCUGAGACAACCAGACGGGAGAAAUCAUCGAUAAAGAACUGUCAAGUACCGAUAUCAGAGCCCAUCACCGGUCCCUAAAUAAGACAGGAAAAGAACAAACGCCAGGAAAACCCCGGAGAAACCGAAAACGAUUUAAAAAAAAGUUGAUGAAUCUGGGGAUGCUUUUAUAACUACUCUGCCUGUGUGAGAGCUGCCUCAGCCUGGAUGGGUGUGAGGAUAUCCAGCUGUUCCUUAGGGCUUGGAGGGUGCAGAGCUCAAGGGCAACGCCUUAGUCCGGGUGUCGGGAGCUGUGUGCAGAUUCCUCCCUGGAGCAGGGAACCCCCGUGAGGAGGAGCCAGAGAUGGGGGCAUCGAACCAGCUGACUGAGACAACAGCCCAGUGAUGGCAGGAGUUUCCCAGAGAGUGGAACAGCUCUUCUCACCUGAUUCUAAUACACCUGGUUCUUCACACACCUGAUUCUUCUCACCUGAUCU